UACGUAGGGAGCAAGCGUUGUCCGGAUUCAUUGGGCGUAAAGAGCUCGUAGGCGGCUGCUCAAGUCGAAUGUGAAAACUCGAGGCUCAACCUCGAGCCUGCAUUCGAUACUGGGCGGCUAGAGUCUGGUAGGGGGGAUCUGGAAUUCCUGGUGUAGCGGUGGAAUGCGCAGAUAUCAGGAGGACACCAAUGGCGAAGGCAGCUCGCUGGGACGGUACUGACGCUGAGGCGCGAAAGCGUGGGGGAGCAAACAGG
rnacentral:rRNA from 1 species